GACGAAGGAUGCAAGCGUUAUCCGGAUUCAUUGGGUUUAAAGGGAGCGUAGGUGGCCUUAUAAGUCAGUGGCGAAAUCUCUGGGCUUAACCCAGAAAUUGCCAUUGAUACUGUAGGGCUUGAGUAUAGAUGCCGUUGGCGGAAUAUGACAUGUAGUGGUGAAAUACAUAGAGAUGUCAUAGAACACCGAUUGCGAAGGCAGCUAACGAAACUAUAACGGACACUGAGGCUCGAAAGUGUGGGGAUCAAACAGG
rnacentral:rRNA from 1 species